GGGGUGGACGCGAAAGGAGCAACGGCUGCUACAUAAGAUCACGCUAGCGGCGAGACAGGCUAUGGCCUUCAGGUGGCUACAGCAGGAGCUACCGCAGAUUAUGGAUGUGAUAGAUAGGAUUAAAGACAUGCGGGUGAUGGAUGAUUUUACGGCUAGGGUCAGGGGCACCUCUAGGACCUUUCAACGGGUGUGGGAGCCGUGGGAUGGGUCCCGGUG